GUCCACGCCCUAAACGAUGUCUACUAGUUGUCGGGUCUUAAUUGACUUGGUAACGCAGCUAACGCGUGAAGUAGACCGCCUGGGGAGUACGGUCGCAAGAUUAAAACUCAAAGGAAUUGACGGGGACCCGCACAAGCGGUGGAUGAUGUGGAUUAAUUCGAUGCAACGCGAAAAACCUUACCUACCCUUGACAUGGCAGGAAUCCCUGAGAGAUUGGGGAGUGCUCGAAAGAGAACCUGCACACAGGUGCUGCAUGGCUGUCGU
rnacentral:rRNA from 1 species